CAGUAACUGAAGAAGAAUUUUAAAGUGCAAAUCAGUAAUCUUAAUCAUUGUUGAAAAGGCAAUUGGUAUACCUUACUCCUGUAAUGUUUGCAUUUUGUAUAACUUGAACUGUAGUUUUUGUUGUUAAGACAAUUGUUGCAAAAAUUGGUUGUUGUAUUUCAAGAUGUCAUGAGCACAACAUGAACAGUAGUUGGUCACAAUAAGAAGAAAAUGAAAAGAAGAGAUACAGGACAUAUUUCAAAGAAAAAUAAUAGACUUCCAUGACUGCAUAGAGACUGAAGGGGAAAGACAAAGUCCAGCUCUUCAGAUGUAAAGUCUGACAAUUUAAACUUCUUAACAUAACAAAAGAGUCAUUUUCAUGUCAAGAGAUGAUGAUAUUUCCCCACAACUUUAGAAUAUUGAUAUCUAGAGCAAAGGAGUAAAUAUAGACACAACAAUCUGAUUUCUCAUUUCAUUGUUGAAAAUAUCAAAUAAGGUCACCGAAGAAAAGUUGCCUAUGAGCUAUAAAUCACUGUUAUCAUAUUAGGUAUGAAAAAAUUAUUUCCUAAAGGAUUAACUGUAUAGGGUGCAGUGUGGAAUCUAAACAGACAGUUGGGAGUGGUAACCACUGAAACAGGUUAUUUCACUGUUAUUUUUCACAUAGUGCCAAAUACAUGGCACACAUAUUUGAGAGUACACAUAUUAUUAGCACAGUGCUGUGAAGAAUUUUGCCGCCACAUGAAUCAGGAAAGGCACUUAAACAUCGGUUUGGUUGUAAAACAAACACAGAGCCACACACACACACACACACACACACACACGCGUGCACACACGCAUGCACGCACAGUUGGCUCAUUACCAGAUUCACUAGCCACAAACCUGAAGUAGUAAUAAGAACUGAUCUUUGACAAUUGUUAAUUCAGUAAAAUGGGGCAAUUUUAUCUGUAAAAUUUGUUUGAAGAAUAUGGAGAAUCGUUUGUUGUUGAUGUCAUUAACCAGAACCUGAAAGUAAGGUUUACUGAUGAAUAUGUGAAAUUAAACAAGUUUAAUGUUUAAUGUUUUGUAGUUGCCAAAAACCUUGAAAGUGAAUAUGGCUUAGAACACCUGUCAGUAGGAGAAACUUUGAGAAGUGUAUUGAGCUACCAUCCAGAAACAGAGCUGGCACUUAUGUUCAACUGGCGUCUUCAUGAGGGAAUGACAGUGCCAGAUGAGCUAACUGUUCAAGCCUUGGACCUUUCCCUGAUGGACAGUGCGUGCCAUACUGCAGGAAACCAAGCUCCCUUGAAAUACAUCUCAUGAAACUUGAGCAUCACCCACCCGUUUUUGUUAUCUGCUGGUUUCCUAUGUACUCUUCAUUGAUGUUUUCACUCUGAAUAUCCGUGUGGAAAAGAAGCAAACUAUUGACAUAUGCAACAAAAUUAUAACUCUUGAUGGC
rnacentral:lncRNA from 1 species